ensembl:lncRNA
AAUGGGAGCAGGGGUGACAGAGGGGGCCAAAUUCAGGAGGCGGAACCCCCAAAGACUCAGUUCCCAAUGAGAAUGAAAAGGUGAGGGUGGAGAACGGCUCUGAAUGAGACACCCGAACCAGGACAGCCCCGGGGGCACCUGGGCUUGUAUCAACAGAAACGCCAGGGAUCCUGAAAUGCCCCAGGGCACCCCACUUGGACGUAGCUCCUGGAGGCUGAUGGCCUGAGACUGGGGAGACCAGGGAAGCACCUCCCCUGGCUGGCUGGAGAGGCCACCGAGCUGGAAAAUGGACCUGGAGGGAGAACGCACCCUGCCAGUGUCCUGGAGGAAGGCUGACUCCGGCAGAGACGAGUCAGAAAAAAGUAAUGGGAGCCGAUAAGAAAACAGAAGUUAACCCAGACGAUUGCAAAGGGGGACACCACGGCUGGAGGCCUGGCCCAGUGACCUCACAGUCUGUUUACAGCCUGACGGUUUUCCAAGGCCUGCUUCGGACACCACGUACUUCCUCCCCGUGAGUGUACUGGAAGUAUCCAGAGGAAACAUCUGCUCUAGAACAUGACAUCACUCAUGUCACUGUCAAUAUUUGAUAUAAAUAUAUUUAACAGGCAUUUGCUCUCGCUUAGCAACCUGGUCACGGGCUCGCUGACUUCUCCCCUCAGUGAAUCAACUUCCCCCACGCUCAGGCUGCGGGCUCAUUCCCAGCUGGGGACUCCACCCUUUCCAAAACCAGGCAGCAUAACAGAGAACCUGGAUUUGAAGAACUGGUGGGUGGAAAAGCUGUGAUCAGAAGUGGAGGGUGGAAGCCCCCAGCUGCGUGGAGGAUUAGGCCCCCUCCUGGGGAAGAAAACGUGAUCAGAGCUGGAGCAAGAACCAGCUGGGGUGGGCGGUAGCACUUUUUAUUUCUGAGGCAAAUAAAAUCAAUCCCCUUUUAUCCACUACGAAGCAAAGGUCCAAGGAACACACUAAUAAAUGGCAGAGCUGGGCCUCAAGCCCAGGUCUGACUCAGAGGCUCAAAGCCACACCCAUCAUCCACACCAGGCCUGAAUGUCAGGGAAUACACAAAGUACGCUGAUCAAUAAGCUGGGGCCAUUUCAGGCUUAACGUGAACGCAGCAGACAAGUUCCUACUAAUUGCAAUUUGUUUGAAUUUUGUACUACAUUUCACUCAUUCUGUAUUG